rnacentral:rRNA from 1 species
GAUGAACGCUGGCGGCGUGCCUAAUACAUGCAAGUCGAGCGAACAGACGAGGAGCUUGCUCCUCUGACGUUAGCGGCGGACGGGUGAGUAACACGUGGAUAACCUACCUAUAAGACUGGGAUAACUUCGGGAAACCGGAGCUAAUACCGGAUAAUAUAUUGAACCGCAUGGUUCAAUAGUGAAAGACGGUUUUGCUGUCACUUAUAGAUGGAUCCGCGCCGCAUUAGCUAGUUGGUAAGGUAACGGCUUACCAAGGCAACGAUGCGUAGCCGACCUGAGAGGGUGAUCGGCCACACUAGAACUGAGACACGGUCCAGACUCCUACGGGAGGCAGCAGUAGGGAAUCUUCCGCAAUGGGCGAAAGCCUGACGGAGCAACGCCGCGUGAGUGAUGAAGGUCUUCGGAUCGUAAAACGCUGUUAUUAGGGAAGAACAAAUGUGUAAGUAACGAUGCACGUCUUGACGGUACCUAAUCAGAAAGCCACGGCUAACUACGU